CCUACGGGAGGCAGCAGUGAGGAAUAUUGGACAAUGGCCGUAAGGCUGAACCAGCAAAGUCGCGUGAAGGAAGAAGGAUCUAUGGUUUGUAAACUUCUUUUAUAGGGGAAUAAAGGUAUCCACCUGUAGAUAUUAGCAUGUACCCUCUGAAUACGAGUCGGCUAACUCCGUGCCAGCAGCCGCGGUAAUUCGGAGGAUGCGAGCGUUAUCCGGAUUUAUUGGGUUUAAAGGGGGCGUAUGUGGUUUGUUAAGUCAGCAGUGAAAGUGUGUGGCUCAACCAUAAAAUUGCCGUUGAAACUGGAAGACUGGAGUGGGGGGGAGGUAGGCGGAAUGCGUGGUGUAGCGGUGAAAUGCAUAGAUAUCACGCAGAACGCCGAUUGCGAAGGCAGCUUACUAAGCCAUAACUGACACUGAAGCACGAAAGCGUGGGGAGCAAACAGGAUUAGAUACCCUAGGAGUC
rnacentral:rRNA from 1 species